GCUGGGCGCGGUGGUGCACAUCUGUAAUCCCAGCUUUGGGAGGCUGAGACAGGAGGCCACGAGUUCAAACCAGCCUCAGCAACUUAGCAACUCAGUGAGACCCUGUCUCUA
rnacentral:sRNA from 1 species